AUUGAACGCUGGCGGCAGGCCUAACACAUGCAAGUCGAACGAGUGGCGGACGGGUGAGUAAUGUCUGGGAAACUGCCCGAUGGAGGGGGAUCACUACUGGAAAAGGUAGCUAAUACCGCAUACCAUCGGAUGUGCCCAGAUGGGAUUAGCUUGUAGGGGGGGUAACGGCUCACCUAGGCGCCGAUCCCUAGCUGGUCUGAGAGGAUGACCACCAACACUGGAACUGAGACACGGUCCAGAGUCCUACGGGGGGCAGCAGUGGGGAAUAGUGCACAAUGGGCGCAAGCCUGAUGCAUCCAUGACGCGUGUAUGAAGAAGGCCUUCGGGUUGUAAAGUACUUUCAGCGAGGAGGCGUUACUCGCAGAAGAAGCACCGGCUAACUCCGUGCCAGCCGCCGCGGUAAUUC
rnacentral:rRNA from 1 species